UAAUCACGUGGCUGCCACCAAGGUAAGAAGAGGCCGCUCUUCCUGGGGUUGUUUCUCCGUGUGACGUGUGGCCUUUGAGAUCAACUCUCCUGUACCAGCGUAGGCCGCAUGAGUGGGGGGCGGGCUCCCGCGGUCCUGCUCGGCGGAGUGGUGAGUGACCGGCCCCGCCCCGCCCCUUCCGGUCCUCGAAGCCUCGACCGCUACCCGCACCCCAAAUCCCAGAGGUUGGCCCCCUGAGGUGUGAGUGAAAUGAGCUUUUGCUUUAUUUUCCAAGUUUCUCUUUCACCUUCAGGGGCAUUCUUCGGGGGUGCAUCAGAGGGAGGGCAGAGCCUGAGGAUCUAAGCGAAGGCUUCCCCGGGUGUAAUUUCCUGGGCUGUUUGUGAGGAGAGAUCGAAUUCGCCUCCUGCUCUCAGGCCUCUCUGCUCCUGUCUUUUGUUUGGAUGCCGGCGCUGCUGCCUGUGGCCUCCCGCCUUUUGUUGCUACCCCGAGUCCUGCUGACCAUGGCCUCUGGAAGCCCUCCGACCCAGCCCUCGCCGGCCUCGGAUUCCGGCUCUGGCUACGUUCCGGGCUCGGUCUCUGCAGCCUUUGUUACUUGCCCCAACGAGAAGGUCGCCAGGGAGAUCGCCAGGGCCGUGGUGGAGAAGCGCCUAGCAGCCUGCGUCAACCUCAUCCCUCAGAUUACAUCCAUGUGAGUCAUAGGAGUUGGGGGGUUAACCUAACUGUAGGAGCUGACUGGGAACCUCUUUCCUGGGGGAAAUUCUUUGCUCCCCACAACUCUCCCCCUCUGACCUUUCAGCUAUGAGUGGAAAGGGAAGAUCGAGGAAGACAGUGAGGUGCUGAUGGUGAGAAACAUUUCCCCCACCCAACAAAAUAUCCCCAAUCCCUGACCCCUUUAGCCCUUACCCCUCUUCUGAGAAACUGAACUCAAUCCCACUCCUUGAUUCAACCAUGUUUAUCUUUGUCCCUUAGAUGAUUAAAACCCAAAGUUCCUUGGUCCCAGCUUUGACAGAUUUUGUUCGGUGAGAACUUUGAGAUGGAUGGGGUAAGGGUGUGUACUGUGUGGGUGUGACUUGCUGGGCAGUCUAGGGCUUGCGUGUAAGGGAGUGGGUUCCUUUGGGUAAAUGUUUGAGUGAUCCCCUUCCCCCACCCAUUUUGUAGUUCUGUGCACCCUUACGAAGUGGCCGAGGUAAUUGCAUUGCCUGUGGAACAGGGGAACUUUCCGUACCUGCAGUGGGUGCGCCAGGUCACAGAGACAGUUUCUGACUCUAUCACAGUCCUGCCAUGAUGAGCCCUGUUCCUGCUCAUCAUGAAGAUCCCCGCGAUACUUCAACGCCUUCUGACUUCCAAGUGAUGACUGGGCCCCCAAUAAAUCCU
rnacentral:sRNA from 1 species